rnacentral:rRNA from 1 species
UGGGGAAUAUUGCACAAUGGGGGAAACCCUGAUGCAGCGACGCCGCGUGAGCGAUGAAGUAUUUCGGUAUGUAAAGCUCUAUCAGCAGGGAAGAAAAUGACGGUACCUGACUAAGAAGCACCGGCUAAAUACGUGCCAGCAGCCGCGGUAAUACGUAUGGUGCAAGCGUUAUCCGGAUUUACUGGGUGUAAAGGGAGCGUAGACGGAGUGGCAAGUCUGAUGUGAAACCCGGGGCUCAACCCCGGGACUGCAUUGGAAACUGUCAAUCUAGAGUACCGGAGAGGUAAGCGGAAUUCCUAGUGUAGCGGUGAAAUGCGUAGAUAUUAGGAGGAACACCAGUGGCGAAGGCGGCUUACUGGACGGUAACUGACGUUGAGGCUCGAAAGCGUGGGGAGC